UUUUAAGUGCUUAUUGAAGUGCUUUCCUGUAGACUGCAGAAACAGAUUUGUUUCAGAUGCGCUGCACCAGGUUGUAGACCCUACCCUACUUUUUGAGGAAGAGAUUUUGAUGAUCACUGAUCAGGACAUUGCAUGAAGAAAAAAGCAAAGAAACAAGCCGUAGAACAGAGGGGAAGAACACCAGCUGGACGUGGGUCUUGCACUAGCCCAAGCUGCUGUAUGCAACUGGAGUUUUUUGCUUUUUCCUUAGCCUCUGAUAUUAGGAGAUGGAACUCUUAAGUCAUGUAUCCCCAGAAUUCUAGAGAUUUGACUCUGAUUUUGGUUGGAUUUCACUCUGCUGUAGGAUGAAUUAACAACAUAAUCUUGGUGAGCUCCAGCCGCUGAAGAACAACAUACAUUUCUAAUCUAUGUGGUCCCACCACCAACUCUUUUGAGAAACCAUCUCUCUGGGUUUUCUCCCUGUAAGUGGCCUUCCUGCACAUGCUGCCUCGCCACUGUCAGCCACAGUCGUGGCAGAGCCAUUGGCAUCUUCUGAACUGCAACUAGAUCCUUCCAGAGUCGCAUGGAAGGGCUUUGGAAGGGCACAGAAAAGGGACAAAACUACUUGUCUGCAGUCAGUGAAUAAAGAUAAAGAAGUAAGCGCCUCUGCAGCACUACAGAGAGUAAGUGUAUCCAAACAUCCUCAUCCUGAAAACAUUACAGGAGCAAUGUAAAUCUGCACACUAAAUGCACCAGCCAUUGAAACACCUUUGACAGAAAUCAUCAGGGACAACCAAACAGCCUUUCUUCUCUCCUGUAGCACAUUUUAUUGCUCCCAGAUGUGCACAGUGGUUAGCUAAGGAGAAGAGGCACAUAAUCCUGUACCUGCUGAAAUUGUGACCCUAAAAAUGAAUUUGGAAGACCCUUUUAUUCACACUCUUGGAAGCUUGAUUUCUUGGGAUAGUGUGAAGCUGAGAUAUGGGGACUAUUCAUGUUCUGUUCUCUUAAAAAAUAAAAGAUUGUGAGAGGAUAAAC